rnacentral:lncRNA from 1 species
ACAUGAAAGGAUGUGAAUUUGGAAUCAGAGAAACCUGAGUUCCACCAUGCUUUCUUCCUCUUGCAAUCCAUGAAAUCCACAGUGGAUUAGUGGAUAUUACAAAACCUCUGGUCCCACCUCAUUAAGAUGGAAAAAAAUAAUACUAAUUGAAAGAAUGAAUGUGAUAAUGAGAAGAAAUGGCAUCAAUAAAGUUUCUGGAACACAGUUAUAUGCAGUACUGAAGAGCAACUUCAGCUAUUGAGUUACACCUCAAUGCAACCUCCUGGCAGGCCAGCCUUAAGCCCAGCAGUCCCACCAUGCAUCUAAGCUGCGUUCUCAUCAGACCCAACUUCAAUUAUAAACAACUGAGAUGAUGCCAGAGGCCAGAAUCCCUGAGAACCCAAUUUGCUGUCAUCACCAUGGCUGAAACAAGGCACUUGGCAUCUAGAAAAGCUGAUCUGUAGGAAAUUUCCAAUAGAGUUCAAUUUUUCUAAGUUUAAAGUGUACAAUAUCAUCAAGGUCAGACACUCGAGAUAAAACUAGGCUUGUGUUUAAAUAUAAUAAAAAUAUUUGAAGAAUAGUAAGAGUGGUGACUACUUUUACACAGGAAUGUUUUAAAUAAAUUGUUUUUUUCUGGUGCCUUUUAAAUUUUGUGAUUUGUCAAUGAGAUGCUGAUAUAUUUUUAAUGAAGUAUGCCUUGUAAAAUAAUAAGUGAAUGAAAAAUACACAGUAAUAUUCACAUCAACAAAGCUAGAAGAAGACUGUAUGUCUCAAGAGGCUCCAUCAUCUACCCAGUGGCCACUUGACCAAAUUAAGAUCCAAAUACCAAAAAGAAAAGUAAUUAAAAUUUGUGUUGUAUGCCUUAUAAGACCAAACCUAUAAAAUGAGGGGAAACUUCACAAUUACUUGUAAUUUGCUCUGUGGAAUUGUAACAGAUGGAUUAUAAAGAUGAUUCCAUGAUAAACAUCUAAAUGUGGUUACUACC